AUUAAGCUGAAUAAAUGACCGUCAAUUCAUUAAACUGAACAAAUGACCGUGAAGUCAUUAAACUGAACAAAUAACCGUCAAGUCGUUAAACUGAAUAAAUGAUCGUCAAGUCGUUAAACUGAUCAAUUAACCGUCAAGUCGUUAAAUUGAACAACUGACUAUUAAGUCGUUAAAUUAAAUAAGUGACCGCUAAGUCGUUAAAUUGAGCCAGCCACCAUCAAGCUCUACUUGAUUUGACCAUCAAAUCGUUAAAUUGAGCAAAUCAAAUGAAGGUCAACUCAAACUGACUUCGAUGCCAUUAAACUGAGUAUCUCAAAUUCAAGCCGACCGUCAUGUCAUUA
rnacentral:lncRNA from 1 species